AGUGACCGCCGCCGCUUUCCAUUAAACCAAAAUUUUCAUUCAAAAUUUUCACUCUCUCUCGCAGAGUUUCACCCUUGCCUCUCCAAAUCGAAAUUUCACUCUUGCUCUGUAGCUUCUCAUCACCACCAUAGUUUAUCUAAUAGUCAUGGCCGCCGUAGCUUCUCCUCAUCGCCCCGUAGCUUAUCCUCGCANCUCUGUCUCUCUCUCUCUCUCUCUCUCUCUCUCUCUG
rnacentral:lncRNA from 1 species